UCUUUUCUGUCGGCUGACCCAGCGAUAUGUGCUUUUUCAGGUUGUUUCAUGCUCUUCAGCCUCCUCCUAGUUUAUGAUUCAGCUGCUUCCAGCCAGUGCACAAGAACCACAUUUCCAUGGAAACUAUUCUGGGGUGGUUCCCAGCCCCCAGCUCUCAGCACAGUCUGCUCUCUGAUGGUGCUGGCAAGACUAUACCUGCAGGUGUGUGUUCCCCAGGGAUGUCCUUAUCUGGGAGGGUCUCCAUCCUAUAAAUCCCUCCCAGCUCUCAGUUGCCAGCACCUGAAAGGCAUAAGUGUUGCAGCAAAAUGCCCAGCUAUAGAGACACACCACCCCAGCCCUGGCAAGGAGUGAUGGGCUGUGCUUCAUUCUCUCCAGGCAGGAUGUUUGCUUGCUCUCAGCUUAAGGUUCAAGUGCUUCAGAUGCCUCAUGAGAUUCAAGCACCUGCAUGAAUCCAGCAGACAAGAAGCAGAGCCCACUGGUGACCUACUGCCCUUCUGGAGCAACACCAGGAGGUUGGAUAGCAUAUCUGAAGGUACAUAGCAACUGUGUCAGGCGCAAAUGGAUCCUAACCUGGUGAGACAGCUGGAGAGACUUUUUGGAGAGACACAGCUUACUUACAGUUCCUGUAAACGUGGGAGGAGAUCAAUCAAGUAGCAGUAACCCUUGGUUAAAGGUUGGAGUAAAGCAUCUGUUAUGUUCAUCUGUAAUAAAAUUUCCUUGGUGGUCUCCUG